rnacentral:rRNA from 1 species
AGUGAACGCUGGCGGUAGGCCUAACACAUGCAAGUCGAACGGCAGCACAGGAGAGCUUGCUCUCUAGGUGGCGAGUGGCGGACGGGUGAGGAAUACAUCGGAAUCUGCCCAGUCGUGGGGGAUAACGUAGGGAAACUUACGCUAAUACCGCAUACGACCUUCGGGUGAAAGAGGGGGAUCGCAAGACCUCUCGCGAUUGGAUGAGCCGAUGUCGGAUUAGCUAGUUAGCAGGGUAAUGGCUCACCAAGGCGACGAUCCGUAGCUGGUCUGAGAGGAUGAUCAGCCACACUGGAACUGAGACACGGUCCAGACUCCUACGGGAGGCAGCAGUGGGGAAUCUUGGACAAUGGGCGAAAGCCUGAUCCAGCCACACCGCGUGAGUGAAGAAGGUCUUCGGGUUGUAAAGCCCUUUUAUUGGGAAAGAACACUUGCAGGCUAAUCUGCUCGGAGGAUGACGGUACCCAAAGAGUAAGCCACGGCUAACUUCGUG